rnacentral:rRNA from 1 species
GACGAACGCUGGCGGCGUGCCUAAUACAUGCAAGUCGAGCGGACGAAUCGAAAGCUUGCUUUUGAUUCGUUAGCGGCGGACGGGUGAGUAACACGUGGGCAACCUGCCCUGUAGACGGGGAUAACACCGAGAAAUCGGUGCUAAUACCGGAUAACACGAAAUGUCGCAUGACGUUUCGUUGAAAGACGGCGCAAGCUGUCGCUACAGGAGGGGCCCGCGGCGCAUUAGCUAGUUGGUGAGGUAACGGCCCACCAAGGCGACGAUGCGUAGCCGACCGGAGAGGGUGAUCGGCCACACUGGGACUGAGACACGGCCCAGACUCCUACGGGAGGCAGCAGUAGGGAAUCUUCCGCAAUGGACGAAAGUCUGACGGAGCAACGCCGCGUGAGCGAAGAAGGCCUUCGGGUCGUAAAGCUCUGUUGUUAGGGAAGAACAAGUACCGCAGUAACUGGCGUUACCGUGACGGUACCUAACGAGAAAGCCACGGCUAACUACGUG